GACGAACGCUGGCGGCGUGCUUAACACAUGCAAGUCGAACGGAAAGGCCCUGCUUGCAGGGUACUCGAGUGGCGAACGGGUGAGUAACACGUGGGUGAUCUGCCCUGCACUUCGGGAUAAGCCUGGGAAACUGGGUCUAAUACCGGAUAGGAGCCAUUUUUAGUGUGAUGGUUGGAAAGUUUUUUCGGUGUUGGAUGAGCUCGCGGGCUAUCAGCUUGUUGGUGGGGUAAUGGCCUACCAAGGCGGCGACGGGUAGCCGGCCUGCGAGGGUGGACGGCCACAUUGGGACUGAGAUACGGCCCAGACUCCUACGGGAGGCAGCAGUGGGGAAUAUUUCACAAUGGGCGCAAGCCUGAUGCAGCGACGCCGCGUGGGGGAUGACGGCCUUCGGGUUGUAAACUCCUUUCGCUAGGGACGAAGCUGUUUGUGACGGUACCUAGAUAAGAAGCACCGGCUAACUACGUG
rnacentral:rRNA from 1 species